UUGCACGUAGCCUCCCGGGCUCAUCUGAGUUUAUAAUAGUGAAGUUAGAAGCCCCAAAGCUCGUGCUAAACUUACCCGCCGCUAAGUGUUGCAGUUUAGCUCCUUUGUACCUUUUUUAUUACGGCUAAUCUGUGUCAAAUCAACGGCUACAUCC
rnacentral:snoRNA from 1 species